rnacentral:rRNA from 1 species
UACGAAGGGGGCUAGCGUUGCUCGGAAUCACUGGGCGUAAAGGGUGCGUAGGCGGGUCUUUAAGUCAGGGGUGAAAUCCUGGAGCUCAACUCCAGAACUGCCUUUGAUACUGGCGAUCUUGAGUCCGGGAGAGGUGAGUGGAACUCCGAGUGUAGAGGUGAAAUUCGUAGAUAUUCGGAAGAACACCAGUGGCGAAGGCGGCCCACUGGCCCGGUACUGACGCUGAUGUGCGAAAGCGUGGGGAGCAAACAGG